AUAAAGAAAGUAAAAAAGGGCGCAUGGCGGAUGCCUUGGCUCUCGGAGGCGAUGAAGGACGUGAUAAGCUGCGAUAAGCUUUGGGGAGGUGCAAAUGACCUUUGAUCCAGAGAUUUCCGAAUGGGACAACCCAAUAUCUUGAAGAGGUAUUAUCCAACGUUGUUGGAGGCUAACGCAGGGAACUGAAACAUCUUAGUACCUGCAGGAAAAGAAAAUAAACAAUGAUUCCCCCAGUAGUGGCGAGCGAACGGGGAACAGCCCAAACCAUCCAUGUUACGGCAUGGGUGGGGUUGUAGGACUACGUCAUUGCAUGAAGACAUCAGAGAAGAACUUUCUGGAAAGAAAGACCAUAGAGCAUGACAGUUGCGUAUUCGAAUGUUGUCGAAGCAUAGUAGUAUCCUGAGUAGCGCGGAGCACGAGGAAUUCUGCGUGAAUCUGCCGGGACCAUCCGGUAAGGCUAAAUACUCCCGAGAGACCGAUAGCGAACCAGUACCGUGAGGGAAAGGUGAAAAGCACUUCGAACAGAAGAGUGAAAUAGUUCCUGAAACCGUGCGCCUACAAGCGGUCGGAGCUCGUUAAUGAGUGACGGCGUGCCUUUUGCAUAAUGAACCUACGAGUUGCCUUUGCCGGCAAGGUUAAGUGUGACGACACACGUAUCCGAAGCGAAAGCGAGUCUGAAUAGGGCGUAUAGUCGGCAGUGGCAGACGCGAAACCAAGUGAUCUACCCUUGGCCAGGUUGAAGGCUGGGUAACACCAGCUGGAGGACCGCACCAAUAAGCGUUGAAAAGCUUCUGGAUGAGCUGAGGGUAGGGGUGAAAGGCUAAUCAAACUUGGAGAUAGCUCGUACUCCCCGAAAUGCAUUUAGGUGCAGCCUUGCGGGUUACUGAUGUGAGGUAGAGCGACUGAUAAGAUGCGAGGGCUUCACCGCCUAUCAAGUCUUGACAAACUCCGAAUGCGCAUCAGUUCUACCGCAGGAGUGAGGGCAUGGGUGCUAAGGUCCGUGCCCGAGAGGAGAAGAAUCCGGACCACCUGCUAAGGUCCCGAAAUGACAGCUAAGUUAAACUAACGAAGUCUGACUGCUAAGACAGCUAGGAUGUUGGCUUGGAAGCAGCCAUUCAUUUAAAGAGUGCGUAACAGCUCACUAGUCGAGGAGUCGGGCGUGGAUAAUAAUCGGGUAUCAAGUUGUCUACCGAAGCAGUGGGAUCAUUGAUAUGAUCGGUAGGGGAGCAUUCCAGUCAGCGUCGAAGGCGUACCGUGAGGUAUUCUGGAGCGUCUGGAAAAGCAAAUGUAGGUAUAAGUAACGAUAAAGGGGGCGGGAAACCCCCUCGCCGAAAGACUAAGGUUUCCUGAUCAACGCUAAUCGGAUCAGGGUCAGUCGGGUCCUAAGGCUCAGCCGAACGGCGAUGCCGAUGGCAGAAACGGUUAAUAUUCCGUUACUACCUUCAGGAGUGACGUGGAGACGCAGUAGUGACAGUGCCGCCAUCUGACGGAAUAGAUGGUUGAAGGGUGUAGGAGUCGAUCAUGGCAGGCAAAUCCACCAUGAGAUCCGAACCUGAUAGUAUGCCGCGUCCUUCGGGACAAGGCAAUAGUGCGCGUAAGCAUGCUGCCGAGAAAAUCCGCUAAACUUAAUCCUGCAGGUACCCGUACCGCAAACGGACACACGUAGUCGGGAUGAAUAUUCUAAGGCGCUUGAGUGAUUCACGGUUAAGGAACUAGGCAAACUGACCCUGUAACUUCGGGAUAAAGGGUCCCUACCCUUUUAUGGGAGGGCGCAGAGAAUCGGUCCAGGCAACUGUUUAACAAAAACACAGGGCUGUGCCAAAUCGAAAGAUCCAGUAUACAGCCUGACACCUGCCCGGUGCUGGAAGGUUAAGAGGAGAUGUCAUCGAUAAGAGAAGCGUUGAAUUGAAGCCCCAGUAAACGGCGGCCGUAACUAUAACGGUCCUAAGGUAGCGAAAUUCCUUGUCGGGUAAGUUCCGACCUGCACGAAUGGUGUAAUGAUCUGGACGCUGUCUCAACCGUGAGCUCAGUGAAAUUGUAGUAUCGGUGAAGAUGCCGAUUACCCGCGAUGGGACGAAAAGACCCCGUGAACCUUUACUAUAGCUUAUCAUUGAAUCUGGGCACGUGAUGUGUAGGAUAGGUCGGAGGCUUUGAAGCAGGUACGCCAGUAUUUGUGGAGCCGCUGUUGAAAUACGACCCUUUAUUUGUUUGGAUUCUAACCCGUGGAACGGGGACAUUGAUUGGUGGGUAGUUUGACUGGGGUGGUCGCCUCCAAAAGCGUAACGGAGGCUUCUAAAGGUGCCCUCCGGCCGAUUGGUAACCGGCCUUAGAGUGUAAUGGCAUAAGGGCGCUUGACUGGGAGACUAACAAGUCGAUCAGGUAGGAAACUAGAGCAUAGUGAUCCGGUGUUUCCGUAUGGAAGGGACAUCGCUCAAAGGAUAAAAGGUACUCCGGGGAUAACAGGCUGAUCCCUCCCAAGAGCUCAUAUCGACGGAGUGGUUUGGCACCUCGAUGUCGGCUCGUCACAUCCUGGGGCUGGAGAAGGUCCCAAGGGUUGGGCUGUUCGCCCAUUAAAGUGGCACGCGAGCUGGGUUCAGAACGUCGUGAGACAGUUCGGUCUCUAUCUAUCGUGGGCGCAUGAAAUUUGCGUGGCUCUGACACUAGUACGAGAGGACCGUGUUGGACAGACCUCUGGUUUGCCGGUUGUGCCGCCAGGUGCAUUGCCGGGUAUCUAAGUCUGGAUCGGAUAAGUGCUGAAAGCAUCUAAGUACGAAGCCGGCCACAAGAUUAGAUUUCUCAGGGUCGUUGUAGACUACGACGUUGAUAGGAUGCAGGUGUAAAGAUGGAGACAUCAAAGCCGAGCAUUACUAAUUGCCCGUUCACUUUCCUUA
rnacentral:rRNA from 1 species